AUUGAACGCUGGCGGCAUGCUUUACACAUGCAAGUCGAACGGUAACAGGGAGCUUGCUCCGCUGACGAGUGGCGAACGGGUGAGUAAUGCAUCGGAACGUACCGUGUAAUGGGGGAUAACGUAGCGAAAGUUACGCUAAUACCGCAUACGCACUGAGGGGGAAAGUGGGGGACCGCAAGGCCUCACGUUAUACGAGCGGCCGAUGUCGGAUUAGCUAGUUGGUGGGGUAAAGGCCUACCAAGGCGACGAUCCGUAGCGGGUCUGAGAGGAUGAUCCGCCACACUGGGACUGAGACACGGCCCAGACUCCUACGGGAGGCAGCAGUGGGGAAUUUUGGACAAUGGGGGCAACCCUGAUCCAGCCAUGCCGCGUGAGUGAAGAAGGCCUUCGGGUUGUAAAGCUCUUUCAGGUGGAAAGAAAUCUCCCGGGUGAAUACCCUGGGAGGAUGACGGUACCAUCAGAAGAAGCACCGGCUAACUACGUGCCAGCCGCCGCAGUAAGAC
rnacentral:rRNA from 1 species